rnacentral:rRNA from 1 species
CUACGAGGGGUGCAAGCGUUAUUCGGAAUCAUUGGGCGUAAAGGGUGUGUAGGCGGCGUACUAAGUCAACUGUUAAAUCCCCCAGCCUAACUGGGGACCAGCGGUAGAUACUGGUAUGCUAGAGGAUGGAAGAGAGAAGCGGAAUUCUUGGAGUAGCGGUAAAAUGCGUAGAUCUCAAGAGGAACACCGAUGGCGAAGGCAGUUUCUUGGUCCAUUUCUGACGCUAAGGCACGAAAGCGUGGGGAGCAAACAGGAGUAGAUACCCUAGUAGUCC